ensembl:lncRNA
CCCGAGAUCUGGUGCAGGGGCCAUAUUUCUCUUCUGAGAGAAGACUCUGACACUUCCCAUCCAUCACUGGGGUCUCUGUUUCUUCUCCUGGAGCCUUAGUGGAACUGUGACAUGACUGCAGCGGAAGUGAAGCCAUGGUUCAUAAAAUCUGAUUCCAUUUCUGCCUGGACUUCUGACCGUGCUUGUGAGACUCCAUGCUGUGAGAAAGCUCAAGACUCAUGGAGAUGAUGUUCCUUCUCACACCCUAGAGGAGUUGGGCCCCAGCCACCAACUCACUGCGAUCCUAUGGAAGCCUCUGAGCAAGAGCUACCUAGAUGAACCUAAUCAACUCGCAUGGCCAUGAGAGAACAAUACAAAUGACUGUUACCACAGCCACUGUAAUUUAGAAUGAUCUGCUGCUCAGCAAUAAUAAUAUAGCAAUAGCAAUAGUCAACCAGAGCACAGAUGCAAAGUGGACCAGAGGUCUAAAAACUUGGGAUCAGACUGAAGAGGAAAACAAAGCCUCAAAUUCUAGAAAUUGAGGGAACAGCUUUAGAGUGCUUCUAGUUUAUCCAGGACAGGUACAGGGGACAGACAGAGCCCCAACUCUGUCUUAGGGUGUCUCCAUUCAGAAGACCAUUCAGUGGCCCUCCUCACCAGGCAACACAUUCCUGCUUCUCACCCACAAUAGCUGCAGGAAAUGGAUAAACCACUUAACAAAGGCACCAACAGGAAAUCCCAGAGUCUAAGAUGGGCACUUCAUGAAAACAUUCUAAAUAACUGAGAAAAACCCACUACAACAUAGAGGAAGCAAUUACCAUCUGAGGUAAACUAUUUCAGAGCAUACAACAAAAUAUAAAAUAAGCCAACACAUUUUCCAAGAAGAACAGAACUUAAUACCAAAACUGGAAGACUACACAUGGUCAUGGAUGCAAAGAUUCUAAGGUACAGUUUGCCCUCUGUGCCUGUGAAUCAAAAGUAUUGGGGGGAAAUGCAUCUAUACUGAAUAUGUAUACUUUUUCAUUUUUGUUAUUCCCUAAACAAUAUAAUAUGACUAUUUACAUAGCAUUUACAUUGAGAUAUUGUGGGAAUGUGACUAAAUUCAUUUAUGUUUCAUGUAUGCUUUAUAUGUAUAGCCUAAAGAUAAUUCUAUAAAAUAUUGUAAGUAAUUCUCUCCAUGAAAUAAGAGUCAUGCUGUGGAACUGUCCAGUUGUGAUACUGUGGCAGUGCUCAGAAAGUUUCAGAUUUGGGGCUUUUCAGCUAUUCUCAAACUCUGUCUUACAGGACUGCUGUGAAGAUCCAAUAAGAAAAUGUGUGUAAAUCACCUGGCCCAAGGAAGUUUUCAAUAAAAUGUUAGUUAUUUCCUCUCGUUGGUUGCAGAAGUUCAUGCAAAUUCAAUUUCAGAUGUAAAAUCCAGGAGUGAACUCUCCUCCGAUUACAUCUAUCUGUGCCACAUCUAAUCAAGAACCUGCCACAGAGCCAAACCCCAAGAAGGCAGGAGAGGAGCCAUGUAUGCAGCCGAGGGCC